rnacentral:rRNA from 1 species
GAUGAACGCUAGCGGCAGGCCUAAUACAUGCAAGCUGAACGGUAAAUGUUAUAGCAAUAUGAUAUGAGAGUAGCGUAAGGGUGCGUAACACGUAUGCAAUCUGCCCGCAACAGGAGGAUAGCUCCCCGAAAGGGGAAUUAAUACUCCAUAAUAUCACGAGAGGGCAUCUGAUUGUGAUUAAACUCCAAGGGGUUGCGGAUGAGCAUGCGUCUGAUUAGUUAGUUGGUGAGGUAACGGCUCACCAAGACGAUGAUCAGUAGGGGAACUGAGAGGUUGAUCCCCCCCACUGGCACUGAGAUACGGGCCAGACUCCUACGGGAGGCAGCAGUAGGGAAUAUUGGUCAAUGGGUGAGAGCCUGAACCAGCCAUGCCGCGUGCAGGAAGACGGCCUUCUGGGUUGUAAACUGCUUUUGUCAGGGGAUAAAAUACCCGUGCGCGGGGAAUUGAAGGUACCUGAUGAAUAAGCCACGGCUAACUACGUGCCAGCCGCCGCGGUAACAC